rnacentral:rRNA from 1 species
UACGAAGGGGACUAGCGUUGUUCGGAAUCACUGGGCGUAAAGCGCACGUAGGCGGAUUCGUAAGUCAGGGGUGAAAUCCUGGAGCUCAACUCCAGAACUGCCUUUGAUACUGGAGAGCUAGAGUCCGGAAGAGGUGAGUGGAACUGCGAGUGUAGAGGUGAAAUUCGUAGAUAUUCGCAAGAACACCAGUGGCGAAGGCGGCUCACUGGUCCGGUACUGACGCUGAGGUGCGAAAGCGUGGGGAGCAAACAGG